GAUGAACGCUGGCGGCAGGCUUAACACAUGCAAGUCGAACGAGAUCUUCGGAUCUAGUGGCAGACGGGUGAGGAACACGUGGGAACAUCCCUUUCAGUUCGGAAUAACGUUUCGAAAGGAACGCUAAUACCGCAUACGCCCCCAGGGGGAAAGCGGGGGAUCUUCGGACCUCGUGCUAUAGGAGGCGCCUGCGUCGGAUUAUCUAGUUGGUGAGGUAAAGGCACACCAAGGCGACGAGCCGUAGCUGGUCUGAGAGGAUGAGCAGCCACACCGGAACUGAGACACGGUCCGGACUCCUACGGGAGGCAGCAGUGGGGAAUAUUGCGCAAUGGGCGAAAGCCUGACGCAGCCAUACCGCGUGUGUGAAGAAGGCCUUCGGGUUGUAAAGCACUUUCAGUGGGGAGGAAAAGCUGGUGGCUAAUAUCCAUCGGCCGUGACGCUACCCACAGAAGAAGCACCGGCUAAUUCCGUGCCAGCAGCCGCGGUAA
rnacentral:rRNA from 1 species